AUUGAACGCUGGCGGCAGGCCUAACACAUGCAAGUCGAACGAGUGGCGGACGGGUGAGUAAUGUCUGGGAAUCUCCCUGAUGGGGGGGGAUAUCUACUGGACACGGGAUCUUAUCCCGCAUACUAUUGGAUGUCCCGAUAUGGUAUGAUCUUGUGUGUGGUGUAAAGGCUCACCUAGGCGACGAUCCCUAGCGGGUCUGAGAGGAUGACCAGCCACACGGGGACUGAGACACGGCCCAGACUCCUACGGGAGGCAGCAGUGGGGAAUAUUGCGCAAUGGGGGCAAGCCUGACGCAGCCAUGCCGCGUGUAUGAAGAAGGCCUUCGGGUUGUAAAGUACUUUCGGUAGGGAGGCGUUACCGACAGAAGAAGCACCGGCUAACUCCGUGCCAGCAGCCGCGGUAAUUC
rnacentral:rRNA from 1 species